AGUACUUAGAACCCCUCAGAAUGGCCAGAUCCUGCUCAUGCUUGGGCUAGCAGAAUGGAACCUUUGUAAUUCUGGACUUGUAAAUGGAAACACAUCACUUACUGUGAACCACAUCCCAGACAGACAUGGGCAGGUGAAAAGAAAUUCUUCCAGGGAAAGACCAGAAACAACAGAAGAGUGAUGUCAGCGGGUCUACUCUUCCAGAUGUCCCCAUUAUAGGUUGGGUUCUCCAGGAAGAAGACAGAGAUGGAGCUAGAAGCACAUGAAAAGUCUCCUCAUCUGCGAAAGGGGUGAUGGUCCCUCCCUCCCAAAGGCACUGCAAGUUUCAAAGUCAGUGACGUGUGAGGUUCUGGCAGAAGGUCUCACAUUCGGAGCACUUUGGUAUGGCCUGACAGCACCUGUCUACAGUACAGUAUCGGGGCACACAGGACCUCGGAUAUAAAAGGGAAUAUUACAAAUACUGCAGAGACACAAGGAUUAAUUGUUUGUUCGUUUAAGG